GUCGGGAUAGCUCAGCUGGUAGAGCAGAGGACUGAAAAUCCUCGKGUCACCAGUUMAAAUA
rnacentral:tRNA from 1 species